rnacentral:rRNA from 1 species
UACGUAGGGGGCAAGCGUUGUCCGGAAUCAUUGGGCGUAAAGAGCGUGUAGGCGGCCCGAUAAGUCCGCUGUGAAAGUCCAGGGCUCAACCCUGGGAUGCCGGUGGAUACUGUCGGGCUCGAGUCCGGAAGAGGAGUGUGGAAUUCCUGGUGUAGCGGUGAAAUGCGCAGAUAUCAGGAGGAACACCGGUGGCGAAGGCGGGUCUCUGGGCCGAUACUGACGCUGAGGAGCGAAAGCGUGGGGAGCGAACAGG